rnacentral:tRNA from 4 species
CUAAGGAUGGUUCUUCAGAAGCUUGCUUCUAUCGAACCGUUUUAGAAACAUCAGUGGCCAACGAUCGUCAGGAUUGUUGAGCUGCAUUGGCGGGAUUUCGCCGUCUUCGUUUCUCUUUCUUCGCGGACGAACACGCGCUGGGGCUGCAACCUUGCAGAAUCCCUGGUCCUUGACUGGAUAUGCGUUAGGGGCUUGUAGCUCAGUUGGUUAGAGCGCGCGCUUGAUAAGCGUGAGGUCGGAAGUUCAAGUCUUCCCAGGCCCACCACACUCAUCGAGUGAGCAUUCGUCUUCUGGUUACGGGGCCAUAGCUCAGCUGGGAGAGCGCGUGCUUUGCAAGCAUGAGGUCGUCGGUUCGAUCCCGUCUGGCUCCACCAGAUGGUUUGAUCAUCGGCUGAUCGUACCUGAAUCGUCCGCGAAACAUCACUUCGCACUUGCUAGUCCGGAUGGACAGUAAGCUGCGUGAUUUCUGACAUCGUAAAGAGGAGAUCGAUCCGAGUUGGAUCGGGCAACAAGCAAUUGUUGCGCGAUACUUCAUUAUCUCCGGAUCAUUUCGGCGCUCGUGCGCCUUUCAAUGUAGCUCACAAGGCUGCGUCUGAGAGGAAUGCGAGUUGUAAAUGAUCCUUUUAGCGAAGCUUGACCGCCUCGCUAUCGGAACGAUCUUACGAAGCAAGCUGGUCUUUCUAAUCAUUGUCCGGCUGUGAAUAGCGUUCAUCGAGGGCGCGUGCCGCAAGGCAGUUCUACAGACAACAUUCUGCCGAGUGUGUGGACAUUGAUAAUGAGAGC